rnacentral:rRNA from 1 species
GUCGAGCGAACAGACGAGGAGCUUGCUCCUCUGACGUUAGCGGCGGACGGGUGAGUAACACGUGGAUAACCUACCUAUAAGACUGGGAUAACUUCGGGAAACCGGAGCUAAUACCGGAUAAUAUAUUGAACCGCAUGGUUCAAUAGUGAAAGACGGUUUUGCUGUCACUUAUAGAUGGAUCCGCGCCGCAUUAGCUAGUUGGUAAGGUAACGGCUUACCAAGGCAACGAUGCGUAGCCGACCUGAGAGGGUGAUCGGCCACACUGGAACUGAGACACGGUCCAGACUCCUACGGGAGGCAGCAGUAGGGAAUCUUCCGCAAUGGGCGAAAGCCUGACGGAGCAACGCCGCGUGAGUGAUGAAGGUCUUCGGAUCGUAAAACUCUGUUAUUAGGGAAGAACAAAUGUGUAAGUAACUAUGCACGUCUUGACGGUACCUAAUCAGAAAGCCACGGCUAACUACGUGCCAGCAGCCGCGGUAAUACGUAGGUGGCAAGCGUUAUCCGGAAUUAUUGGGCGUAAAGCGCGCGUAGGCGGUUUUUUAAGUCUGAUGUGAAAGCCCACGGCUCAACCGUGGAGGGUCAUUGGAAACUGGAAAACUUGAGUGCAGAAGAGGAAAGUGGAAUUCCAUGUGUAGCGGUGAAAUGCGCAGAGAUAUGGAGGAACACCAGUGGCGAAGGCGACUUUCUGGUCUGUAACUGACGCUGAUGUGCGAAAGCGUGGGGAUCAAAC